AGUGCAGCCGUCCCAUCCAGCCUGUUCUUUGCAAAGAGUGCUCUGAAUACAUCAGCCUUUUUCUGCAAGAACAGAGCAAAGUCCCCAGUGUGCUUCUUCUUCUGCAUGAGCAAACAGACCACGAUGGACUCCUGGCUGAUGGGUAGAGAAGUUCAGAAAGCUGCUGGGGAACACACAGUCUACAAGUUGGGACUGCUGAUGUUUGCUUCAGCCUGGUAUCCCAUAGUAGAGGCAUAAGGAUUAACCAGGCUUUGGAAGGGGAGCUCGUCUUGGUGUUGGGAUGGGCAUUUCUUUGGACACAAGGUGGGGUGAGAAGCCAUCAGCAAAGGAAGGAGAACCCAUUGGGAUGACCAAUGAUGUCAUCCCAGUUGACGACCAUGCACUUAAAUUGAAACGAGUGGCAUUCAGGUUAGCCAGCAGAAGAAUGUUUCUCAGGGCACGAUCAAGAAAAUGAAGCUCCAAUAUCAGCUGGGUGAAGAAGCCAUUGGAUCAAUACACAAGACUUGAGAUCCUCCACCCCGGCCCUGUGGAUUUGUUGCCUUCAUCCAUUGUACAUGUGGGCUGCUAUAGCUGGCAUAGCUCCCCAGAUACAGUUCAGGUCAUAUUCACCCACUACAGAGUGGCAGAAUAGGGACCAAGAAUGUGGCCAGGAAACUUCAGGACUUCAAAUGUGGCUUUUGAGCUCUGUGACUUCCUUCAGUCCCCGGCUGGAUCUAUUCUUGUGGCUUCCACUCUCUGCACACUGAUUGCCUGCUCCGGCUGUUGCAGGGCAGAAAGGCAAUAUAUCUGCCUUUCUAUAUACAGCUGAAUUGGCCUGAGCUUUACAAAGCUAAUCAGCCAUGAAAAUGCCCCUCCUUGCCAUCCUGGAAGAAUUGACUUUAAUGAUGAGAGACAUUCUCUUUCCAGCCUGGUCAAAAGGGUAGGAGGCCUUCUGGGGAGAUUGCAGCUUGUCCUUGAGAUCAUCCCAUGCAGUCUGAGGCCUUGCUCAGAGCUUUCUUUUAACCCUCUCCUACCCUGCAGUCAGGAAUUGCCAGAGCUGAACUGAUGCACUGACAAAAGGCCUCACUUGCUUUGUAAUUCCCUCUAUGAGAGAUCUUCUUUCAGCACUGAACUGCUGGUGGCUCCAUCUUCUUCCUCCUCUCUUGCACCCACUUCGCUCCUGGCACCUUUGGCCAUCAGGACUGGGUGCAGCAGAUGAUCUUUAGUGAUCUUUUCCAACCUUAAUGAUUCUAUGAUUUUGUGAUUUUACUUGUGUUUGGCCAAAGAAAACUGAUGGGAAGGCAGCAGGUUUCUGGGUUAUUUGUCCCACUGACAGCACAGGCAGAGUAUCCUCUCCAUGGAGGAGCAAGUGGUUGCCACUGUGGUGUCCCUAAGGAAACUGUGUGCAGUGGCUCGUGAUGGAGACCCUCAUAGAGGUAA